GACAUUAUGAAAACGGUAUUAAUGAAAUCUUACUAUAAUUAAUUUAAUUUAAUUUAGAUUAUCACUAACGAGCAAUUUUCCAGAAAAUAAUAUCCCCGGGUUCGACAGUAUAAUCUUUCCCUUUCGUUUUGCACUUUCCUACGCUUUUACAAGCAUCUACUGAUUUGUACUUUUCGAAAUCAGAAAACUUUAUAACUUCUCCUGCAACGAACUUCUUCUUGAAAUCUGAAUGUAUUAUACCGGCCGCGUCAGGCGCCUUAGAGCCGUCGGCAAUAGUCCAAGCUUGAACGAUUUUUUCACUAGCUGUGAAAUAAUGUAUCAAAUUAAGUGCAGAAUAUCCCGCACAAAUAAUUUCUGAUAAUUGAGAAUUUUUGCCCAAACUAGCGCAUUCCUGCGCCGCCUCUUCAGGCGUAAGCAUGAAUAGCUGUUCUUCAAACAGAACUGAGAGAGGUAUCACUUGAUCACCAAAACUAUUUUUCUCAACCCAUUCUUUGAUUCCUUUUAAUGCUUCUUGUUCAUCGGAAAGAUAAUCGUCUUGAUCCAUAUUUACCAGAUACACCACCGGUUUGGCAGUGAGUAAGUUUAAAGAAUUUAAAAUGGGAAUCUGCUCGUCAUUCCAUUCAGCUUUAGAUAUUUGACGGCCUUUUCCUAAUACUACUUCUAAUGCUCUUCGUGCCGUAUCAAGAGCUUUUGCACAUGUUUUGGGCGAGCGGCCCUCCUUUUUUAAAUAUGAUUCUAAAAACUCUGCGUCUUUUAACAAUAGCUCUUCCUGUAUUAUUUGUAGAUCUCUUACUGGAUCAACUGACUUUUCAACAUGAGGAACUUGAGCCUCUGGAAAUGCACGUACCAAUUGAAACAAAGCAUCGACGGAUCUAAUGUUUGAAAGAAACGCAUUUCCAAGACCUUCUCCCUUGCUUGAAUUCCUUGUCAACCCUGCAGUAUCAUAAAUAGUUAAUUGCGCUGGGAUACGCGUUUUAGGCUGAUAAAUUUCACAAAGCAAUUCAUACUGUGAAUCAAGUACAGGGGCUUUUGCAUGAACGGGAUCGAUUGUAGCGAAAGGGUCUUAUAAAUUUGUUUUGUUAGACAACAGAAAUACAAAAUAUUAUAUCACUUAUA
rnacentral:lncRNA from 1 species